CCUCACCACAGGUCUGCGCCUCCGGCCUGCGGGAUCGAAGGGAAAGGAAUCCGAUCCGGGGAGGCAAGCCUGGGAGACGUCGUGACUGAGUUGGAAAUCUUGGCUUCACUCCACCAAUGACCUGAGUCAUUCUUAGAAAGUCUGAAGAAGGAGCAUGCAGCUCUGAGGGUGGCAGCAGGUCCAGGAAUUGGAAUGUGACCACAGGGGAAUUCUUCAUAAAGGGCUGAACUUUACUGGAUGAGUUUCCCCUGGAAUACCAGGAAGUCAUAUGAAAUCACAGUUUAGGAAGUGCAUUCAACAGUAUAUGGCAGACAUCA
rnacentral:lncRNA from 1 species